GCCUUCGUGGUGGUAGUGGUCAACACGUUCGACGCGUAAUCGAGAGGUCCAUGGUUCGAUUCCCGGCGAAGGCG
rnacentral:tRNA from 1 species